rnacentral:lncRNA from 1 species
GGUUAAUCAUACACAGGAGAACAAGAUAUGGAGGAAGAACCUUUUGGCCAUCAUAUUCAAGCCUGCAUGAGUUCAUAUUUGUGUCCCAGGCCUCGAGCUUUUGAGUCUCCAAGGGAAAACUUUUGGUGGUGUUGCUACAGGAUCUACAUGCGGGUCUCUUUGUUUGCCUUCUGUACAUGGAUAACACAAGUGAUGUUCUGACCCCUUUGUAGGGAGGAGAACAAAGACCUGGAGAUGUCAUGCUGUUCACCUGUUCAAACAGUGCAGAAGAGCAGGCAACCAACACCAGACCUUCUGGGUGCUAGGACCCUGUCACUAUGCAAGGGCUAUCUAGGAUGACUCUGUACAGGUGAUAUGGCAGAAGUUAAUUCUUUCCAAAAGAGCUUGACUGACAUAGUGAAGAGAGCUCCCACAACUUCCCUGUCACAGUCUCCAUCAGUUCUUCCAUGUCUCCUUGGCUAUCACUUCAGAGAGCUUCUGAUUCUCCUGACAGGAGAGCUCCAGCAAAAACUCGGACUUCAGGCUAGAGGGACAAGUAUAGCAAUGGGGGUAUUAUGCAUUGGUGCAGUGCUAGCACAUCUGGGGGCUGCAAAGACUGGUGAGAAAGACCUGGGAAAAUAUCUUCGGCAAGAAAUCCAUUCUUCUCUCAACUCACAAGUUCCUUCAUUUUGUUCUCCAUAUUCAGUCUCAUGAUACUGAACAGACUGUUCUAGCUGAUGAGGCCGGGCUUAGAAGAUGGACUACAGCCAAGAACCCUGGCCACCAUAACGACAAGUCACACCUUUAGGAAACACUUGAAAAGCACUUAUGCACAGUAGAAAAGUACAAGGAUUAAAGUCUCCUCAGGCAUUCCAGCAUAGAGAGAGUCUGACAGACUCAGGUCAGAGGUUACCUCCAAAUAAUAGAAGAGGAAGAAGGUCCUGCUUGACAGAAGAAGCCUGUGGCUGAGGCCAUUGCAACAAGGACUAUGAUUGUGAAACUUGUUUCUCCGUGGAUACUGGUUUCAGAAAUCUUGUGCCCAGGUACCCACAGUCCUCCUCACAUACCUCAUUUUAUAGAACUUUGCAAGUCCUGACAUUGUGUCAUGUGCUUUGUUAUCCCACAUAGGGUAACAAAGAUUUUUACCCAUUUAAGAGUCUGGAAAUAGGCUGGACCCACUGUUGACAUUAAAGGUGC